rnacentral:rRNA from 1 species
GACAGAGGUGCCGAGCGUUAGGCGGAAUUACUGGGCGUAAAGCGUGCGCAGGCGGUUGGGUCAGUCGCUGGUGAAAGCCCCACGCUCAACGUGGGAAUGGCCAACGAGACGGCCCGACUGGAGGCAGGGAGAGGCCGGUGGAAUUCCGGGUGUAGUGGUGAAAUGCGUAGAGAUCCGGAGGAACACCAAUUGCGAAGGCAGCUCGCUGGGACGUUACUGACGCUGAGACGCGAAAGCGUGGGGAGCAAACAGG